rnacentral:rRNA from 1 species
UACGUAGGGGGCAAGCGUUGUCCGGAUUUAUUGGGCGUAAAGAGCGUGUAGGCGGCCAGGUAGGUCUGCUGUGAAAACUCGAGGCUCAACCUCGAGAUGUCGGCGGAAACCAUCUGGCUAGAGUCCGGAAGAGGAGAAUGGAAUUCCCGGUGUAGCGGUGAAAUGCGCAGAUAUCGGGAGGAACGCCGGUGGCGAAAGCGAUUCUCUGGCCCGUUCCUGACACUGAUGCGCGAAAGCUAGGGGAGCAAACAGG